AUUAAACGCUGGCGGCAUGCCUUACACAUGCAAGUCGAACGGCAGCACGGGGGCAACCCUGGUGGCGAGUGGCGAACGGGUGAGUAAAGCAUCGGAACGUGCCCUGGAGUGGGGGAUAACGUAGCGAAAGUUACGCUAAUACCGCAUAUUCUGUGAGCAGGAAAGCAGGGGAUCGCAGGACCUUGCGCUCUGGGAGCGGCCGAUGUCGGAUUAGCUAGUUGGUGGGGUAAAGGCCUACCAAGGCGACGAUCCGUAGCGGGUCUGAGAGGAUGAUCCGCCACACUGGGACUGAGACACGGCCCAGACUCCUACGGGAGGCAGCAGUGGGGAAUUUUGGACAAUGGGCGAAAGCCUGAUCCAGCCAUGCCGCGUGAGUGAAGAAGGCCU
rnacentral:rRNA from 1 species